rnacentral:rRNA from 1 species
CCAGGUUGACCUCGGAUCAGG